GUCAUAGAACUUCAAAGAUUAAUGGCUCUUUAUUUUAAUAAAGUGAACCUCAAAGUACAUCAACAAAAAGGUCAAUUCACUGAAGUGAUGUAGAUUUAAAGAUUUAUCUUACUAAACAAGAUAAAGCAAGGGUCAUUCUUCCUAUGUAAACAACAAGAAGGAAAUGGAGAUAGAGAUUUUUCACCAAAAAGCUUCAAUAACAGUUGGGUUUCACCAUCAACCUCAACUUCGGUGCUGAGCGUCGCCAAAGAAGCUGCAUAAUAGGGAGUUCACUUGUAGGUAGCUGCAAGGACUGGUGUAUACAUUUUGAAUUAUUUGUUUAUAUCUUUUAUAGUUGUUAUGGAAUUUUUGUUGUACAGUGCUAAUUGGGAGGACAUUAUCAGGUUUUGGUUUGCUUGUAUAUUCUAUGUGAAUGGCCUAAUUGGGAAGGCAGUAGUAACGCUUGGUUUUACGUAUAAAGCAUCUGAGUAAGUUAUCAGUCUUGAUAGCUAUAACUUGGGUUAAAAGGGUGCACCAUAACUUGGGUCAUUUGGGAUUGCUAUGGACUGAGAAGCAAGAAAGAAGAUACACGACUCAUUUGAUGAUGAGAAGGAACAAGUUUUUGAAGAAGAAGAUGACUUUUUCUGAAGGCGAGUAUGAAAAUUUACCUUCGGAUGAUCAUGUAGACUCAAAUCAAAGGUAUCUACAGCCUUUUGUUCUUUCUGUUGUUGUUUGGGGUAUUUGAAAAGUGCAGCAUAGCUGAAUUUUUAGCGUUAUAUUAGGUAUGUAAGGAUUGUUAGUAAGCACAUGGUUGACAUAUACAUUUUAGUCGUGGUUCUUAAGAGGCUAAGAAGACUUAUACAUAGCUUCAAUGUCUCACCGGUUGGGUUCGGGCUUAUGGGAAUUAGAAGUCUUAUUGAAUGACUUUAUUUUUGUAAAUGAUUCCUUGA